rnacentral:rRNA from 1 species
GUACUGUGCGAACGUUAUUCGGAAUCACUGGGCUUAAAGGGUGCGUAGGGCGGCCAGGCAAGUAGGGAUGUGAAAUCUUCCGGCUCAACCGGAAAACUGCGUUCUAAACUGCCUGGCUUGAGUGAGAUAGGGGUGUGCGGAACUUCCAGUGGAGCGGUGAAAUGUGUUGAUAUUGGAAGGAACGCCGUUGGCGAAAGCGGCACACUGGGUCUCAACUGACGCGGAGGCACGAAAGCCAGGGUAGCGAACGGGAUUAGAUACCCCGGUAGUCCUGGCUGUAAACGUUGAGCACUAGUCGGGAGGGGUUUCGGCCCAUCCGGACGCAGCGAAAGCGCUAAGUGCUCCGCCUGGGGAGUAUGGUCGCAAGGCUG